rnacentral:rRNA from 1 species
AAGUUGUUCUAACGUGGUCCGAUUGCUUUGACAGCUAGGAUGUUGGCUUGGAAGCAGCCAUUCAUUUAAAGAGUGCGUAACAGCUCACUAGUCGAGCGAUUGGGCGUGGAUAAUAAUCGGGCAUAAAGUAUAUUACCGAAGCUGUGGGAUUUUAAAUCGGUAGGGGAGCAUUCUAGUUGCACUGAAGGUGUAUCGUAAGGUAUGCUGGAGCGGCUAGAAAAGAAAAUGUAGGAAUAAGUAACGAUAAAGCAGGCGAGAAACCUGCUCACCAAUAGACUAAGGUUUCCUGAUCAACGCUAAUCGGAUCAGGGUUAGUCGGGACCUAAG